ensembl:lncRNA
GUUCUUAACUUGCUGAGCCAGAAACAGAGGCAUACAAAUGGAGACAAACACUUGGGAAGGCAGCUCUGGAGCUCUGAGAAAUUUAGGCUGGCUACAAAUGUUUAACAGAUUAUGUUGAUGAUACUAAUGUAUUGAGUGAUAUAUAUAUACAUAUACAUAUAUAUACAUACAUAUACAUAUAUACAUAUACAUAUGUAUACAUAUAUAUACACAUAUACAUAUAUAUCAUGUAAACUCUGCAAGUGCAAGUAAAUUAAAUUUUAUACAGGCCUACAGUUAUAUUUUUAAAUCUGCAACAUAAGGGUAACAGAUUAUGUGACCUUGAAUGUAAUCAGGAUUUUAAUGGUCAUUAAUGGUCAACCGGUUAUAGAGAACAUGCGAAAGAGCAAUCUCAAUAAUGAAAAGGCAAAUGAUGAUAAAUUAGGAAAACUGGACUUUCUAGUGAAUAGAACUUGUGAUCCUUUGGUAAGAUUUCCAUAUCAUGGUGAGUACCCUGGUGGCCUAGCAGUUAAAGGAUCUGGCAUUGCCACUGCUAUGGCGUGAGUUUAAUCUCUGGCCUGGGAACUUCUGCAUGCUAUGGGCAUGGCAAAAAAUAUAUAUAUAGAUAGAUAUAGAUACAGAUAUAGGUAUACAUAUAUAUUUCAAUGUCAUUGUCACCACAGGAAAAAGAAAGCCAUUUAUCCCCCAAGCUGGAAGACUUUCUCCUGAAACAUACUCGUGUUUGGGCUAAUAGAAAUGUAGAGAGCCAUGGAGGUCUCUUGUUGGCUUGAGAUCGGAUUUUGCUUAGUACUGGCCAAAGGCAGGAAUACACCAACACUUGCUAGAUGAUCAGCUAAUCCUUUUGUUUUAUGAAAGCAGUCUAGUAAGUGUAAGUAAUAUUUCUCAAGCCAAGCUCCGGUGCCAGCAAACAGAAAGUGAGAACACUUUUCAAAUUCUUGAUGUGAAGUACUUUGCUUUCUGGUCCAAGAUGUUUUACAAAUGGAUGCUGAUACUUGAGCUAAAAGUAUGGUGGUUCUCUGAUGUGCUCAAGGGCCCCAGGGGAUGAUGCUGAGACAACCAAACUCAUUAUACUCUUAUCCAUUUGGAAGUAAAUUUAAUCUAAGCUACAUCAAGGACCAACAUUUCCUCUGAUGUGCUUUUUUUUUUCCUAACUGCAUCCAUCUGCACUUUCCUCAUUAACACCAGUGCUAACACCUUGGUUUUUGUUUUAAUUUAAAAUGACAGUUUCAGGGUAACUUGUCUUUGAAGAAAGGGCAGCAUUUUGGUUGAGUUAUAAUUAUGAAUAUUUUGAAUAAAAUCAAGAAUGAAGAAAAGGUGGGUAAGAGAAUUUAAUUUAUUCCAAGAACUGUUUUUGAGGUUACUGCUGUUGUUUCUACUAUUUUUUUCAAAUCUUUUUUUAAUAAUAGGAGUUUUAGGUAUCUAUUAUAAAGUUGAAUGAGAUGGCCUUUAAAGAUCAUUCCAACCUGAUUCUCUUUCUCUUUUUUUUUUCAUCUUUUUUUAGGGCCGCACCCAUGGCAUAUGGAAGUUCCCAGGCUAGGGGUCGAAUCAGAACUCUAGCUGCUGGCCUACACCACAGCCACAGCAACACCAGAUCUGAGCUGCAUCUGUGACCUACACCACAGCUCACAGCAAUGCCAGAUCCUUAACCCACUGAGCGAGGCCAGGGAUCGAACCUGCGUCCUCAUGGAUGCUAGUCAGAUUCGUUUCCGCUGUGCCAUGACGGGAACUCCAUCAUUCCAGCCUGAUUCUCAAUCAAGUGUCUGAUCUGUGUCUCUAUUUCAAAAUGCACUGCACAAGUUAAGACUAAAGUCUGCUAGUAGGUGGCAUCUAUUUAUUCUUUAUUCCUAGAGGGUAAGAAUUGCUGUGAUAUUAAAAAUAUACGUAUUUCAUCUCUGUCAAAGCAUAUUUUCAGAAAUCCCCUAAACAAAAUUCUAAACCUAUUUUAGACCACAGACUUUAAAGUCAACACCAACAUAAUCCCUAUACUCAAUGAGAAAAGUAUAAUGGCUGUAAAUAACAGCAAUAUGAGUGCCUAACACCUAAUUUUCCUGUGUCAUUCCUCCUUCACAUCAGUAGGAUCACUGCAGUUGUUUCUAAGUGCUGUAACAUUAGCGUUUACACCGAGUGACAUAAAAUUCAGCUUCAUGACCUAAGGACCUAACUAAAGCAAAAGACGGCAGAGAAAGAUUUUUAGAACUUGCUGUUUUUAUGCAUCAUACAUUGUGUGUAGUCAGAAAAACAUCUGAAACUAGGGACUGCCUAGUCUGGGCUAAGUUAUCAUCUGGUAACACACCACUCUAAAAUUCCAAGGGCUUACAAGAGAGGUUUAUUUCCUAUUCAUUCACAUGUCCUUUAGAGCCCUACCCUAUAUCCCUUCAUUCCUGGCCAAAGGAGCAACCCCACAUGAAGGAGGAAAAGAGCCAUGACAGAACCGUGAGACAAUUCUCAGAGCUUUUGCUGGUAAGAGGCAUGUGCCACUUACACUCAUGUUUUAUUGGCCAAAGGAAGUCACAUGGUCAAACGGAAGUCUAUGAUGCAUGAAAGUAGCAUCCUCCCAGAGGGAGAGGCUGUGGUUACUUGGGCACAAUAAUACAUGUAGGAAAAGAUGAAAAAUACAGAUGAAAAUACUUAAAUUGACUCUAGUUUCAUCACUUCAAAAUAAUUCUAGUUAACAUUUUGGUUAUACUUUAACCAAAGAAGAAGAAUAAUGUCCAUACUUUCCAUCUGCAAUAUGCUCUCUUCAAUCAACAACAUACUGGUAACAGCCUUCACUGUGAACAAAAAAAGCCACACCUUCCAUGUGUUCUCUUAGUCACUACAUAUAAGGCUACCACAUAGAUAUACCACAAUACAGUCGACUUUUCUUGUGGGACAUUUAGGUUAGAUUCAAUCUAUUUUGAAACAAUGAGAUUUAUCACAGAAGAGUUCAUGAUAAUUACAUAUUCACUUUUGAUUAUUAUAAAAUGACCCUCUUUGUUCAUUUUAUUGUUUAUGCCUUAUCUGAUAUCAUCCGCUCCCUGUCUGUCUGUAAUUAAUGAAUGAAAUUUGUCCAAGUUUUUUCAUUUCAACUUUCUAUAUCUUUCUGUAUUAUUUGUUCCUCUAGAAAUGAUCAUGUUGAGUCGUUUUUUUAAAAAAUCUAAUUUUAGUGAAGUUUUCCCCACUUCCAUUACUGUUUAACUAAUAAUUAGCCUUACCCUGCCAUAUCAGUUUACACUCUAUAUUUUUUGGUUCUUGUUUCCUUUAAUGUUUGAUGGCUUUUCCUUUAUAAUCUGUCUUUCCUUAUAAUACUGAUUUUUAUAUGGUUUUAACGGACCUUUGUAUUUGUCAUUAAUAUGAAAGCACAAUUCUUCCUUUAAAGUUCUAUUUCUCUUCUCCUUUAAGUUUCUCUAAAUCAUGCUGGAACCCAGAGUCUCUAAGUGACAGAGUCAAGAGUAAAGCAGUAUCUUUCAAGUCUUCUCUUGCAAUAUAAUAUAAGCCUCCCCUCUCUCUGAAAAAAAAAAAAAAAUUCCUCUUCCCAGUCCUCUUCUUGACUUGGUGACUUAAUCUGGAGUUUUGGAGGAAUUACACUUAAGAUUCUAGAGCAAUAGAGAGUAGCCAAUACCGCUUGCUCCGUUGGGAGCCAACUAAGGCAUCUAAGUGUAAAGACAGACUAAGAAGCAAAGUCUUUUCUGCCCCUUCUCAAGCAGGCUCCUUUUCCUCAAGUGCAGCUGAGGUUUGUCAUAAUCAGGACCUGGCUAGACUUUUUUCAAUUUGAGGUAUCAUAGGAUUGGAGUCUAGUCCUUUACAGUUUUGGCAUGAGAUUCUGCUCUAAGUUAGUGUUUAGGUUAUUGCUAGCUUGUCUUUUCCAGUAUCGGUGACUAUUUACAGAGGAUUAGCAGGAGGCAUAUUAGAUAAUCCUGGACACCAGCCACCUGGGACAGGACGUCCUUAUCAACUGACCUUAUCAACGUAAAUAUCAUUGUACCACUGGGUGGAAUAAAUUAGUUUUCUAUCAAGAUCAUCACCAGAGCAACAAAUGCCUGUUGUCAUUAUAUAUUAUAGUCACUACAAUGUCAUUAUAUAUUAAAGCUUUUUUUUUUUUCCUUAAAGAGAAAGGGUAGGAAAUCUUUUUUUAUUUCUAAGGUUAUUAACCCAUAGGUGAGAAAAAGCAAAGCAAGGAAUGAUGUCAAGCAGAUAAGCCAGAGACUUCCAGGAAAAAUGGCAGUGUCAUAUCUGAUAAUGAUUUCCCUAGAAAAUGACUAAAUAAUAGGGACUAAAAGGAUUAAAAAAAAAAAAAA